AUGUUACAACACUGCACUCAUGUGCUCUCGCUGCCUCACUCGUACAGACAUACACACAGUAUCGCGGCACCAAGAGCGCUCACACACAGAACAGCAGCAGGACGGAAACUGGAAGUGUGGUUGUGCCCUUUUGAGGAGUUUUUGGUCUUCCAAGAGGGCUCUGAUUGCUUUGGAAGGUCACCAACACAAAGAACCCACUCCGGUAACCUGCUGAGUUCCUAAUAAACUGCACUGCUGGCCAGCAGUUAGUUACAAGUGAUAUCCUGGCUUCACAAUUAGUGUAUGAGAAUGUAAGCAUGGCUGGAAACAAGAAGCAUGCCUUGAGAUUACUGCCACCUCCUGUGCAUAAGUCAGGAAGGUCGCUCCAGCACUGAGCAAUGCAAGAGACAACUCUGCAAAUUCAGAGGAUCUCUGACUCCAGUGGUACUGUGUGACUGUUACUUUAAUGGCACUAUAGCUCUCUGGAACAAAACUCACAGCCCUGUAGAAGUCACAAAAGCCUAGUCUUCAGUACAAAGGAUUCUUACAGAAAACUGAUCUUUCUCCCUUGGGAUCACAAGAAUAUAUUUUUUAAAAGAAAAUCUGCCAGUUUUUAGAGAUAACAGAAUGUAACAUGUGGCUGUGUAUUGGGCUCUGUACUGUUUAGUGUGGUAGAGCUUUCAUGAGGAACUCAAAAAUAGUGACCCUGUGCGUUCUUUUCAUAUACACACGCUGAAAUGGUCCCUGCAGACUGAGAUACUUGGCCAUGGAAACAGCAAGGAUACAAAAGGCCUUCAUCACAUAAAUGCCUGAGCCAUCAGGCUUGCUGCUAUAGGGCCAGCAGCUUGGAAGCCCACACAGACUGAGCUCCCAACUCCUAAGCAGAAAGCUGGAAGUACUUAUUUCAAGCACUGCUCACAGACACUUUGCCAGAUAGCUGGGAUCCCAGUUCUGAAAGGCCUGGGACGCACUCCUAGGAUGCACGGCUCCUUCAUGCAGAAAAUCCUAGGCCAAGUGGUGCUGGGCUUGCAGCCAGCAGUUGCUUCAGUCUUUUCCUGUGAAAAAUGCUUCAUUUUGGGAACAUCAAUGGAAAGAAGGAUAAAUUGAAGACUUCUCAUGAAUGGAGUUGUGGUCAGCUCCACAUUCAAACCUGCAUCUCAGUUUCUUUUAAGAUAUUCUGGUCUUUGGAAAUAGUCAGACACCAAAUGCCACCAAGCCGACAUUUUCAAGGCAAGAAACAUCAAUUGCAGAGGGGAAGCCUAGAGGAGGAUGCACAGAGCUUUCCCUCACUGAGAAACUGCAGCCUCAGCCACCUUUUACUCCUACGAAAUCACAAGCUCUCUUAUGUUAGCCCAAGCCCACAAAGCUGCCUGCCAUGCUUCAGCAUGACAGUACCUGAAGACCCAAAGGCACAGUGCUGUCAGGCUGGGAUAUCUCCUCAGCAGUGCAUCUCCAAGCGUCGCAAUCCAGUGGGCCCAGAUGCAGCUGCAUAAAACUACAGUGCAGUGCACUUUGCCAGGCAGCAGAACGCUGCACAGGAUAGGCAGUACUACAAAAUGCCAGACAGGGCCCCAGCCCACCAUGACCAUCACAGCAAGGCUGGCUGUGCAGCCCACUGGGAAGCAGCAUGUGGCCUCCUGACUGAAGGGGUGACUACCUCUUGAUCACAUUUACAGUUGAUCAGAGGCAACUAAUGCUUUGCUGGGCUCCUGGAAAGGGGUAGCAAAGGCAAAAGCAAAGCAGCUGGGAUGGCAGCUGUGCUCACGGCUUCCAUGUGUCACUCCAUUUUUGGUGGGCACAGAAAUUGCAGGCCCCUCUCCAGUGAACACCCCCUUCACUACAUCUUGCUUUUGCUCUAUUCCCCACAUCUCAGCACUGAACUUGGAGGGCAGUAUACUGUCAUGCUUUCUUAAAAACUGCUUUUCUUGAUCCAGCCCACUCACCAUCAGGGCAACAGUCUUUGACCUGCUAGGAAGCCUCAGCAGUGGCCACACAGGUUCUUCAAUCUUCUUUGUCAAAUCAUCCAGAGAAAGCCCUGGCAGCUCUGCCUGCACAAAGGCUGCAGGAGCAAGCUUGCUGUCAGUAAACCUUCAAUUUUUGCUCUUCAUCUGGUUUCUGCCACAACACACAUCCAUAAAGGUUUAGUCCCUGCUGUGGUAUUUUUGUACUUGCAAACUGUAGGAAGAUAACAGAAGAUAAAUGGAGGCAACCUUUCCCCUCCGCCUUUUCUUUUCAUUCUGAAUCUCAGAAAGGUCAGAUCUGGAUUUAAAUUUUCCUGCGCAAUGUUUUGGCUUGGUUUGUAUUUAUUCCAAGUGAAUUCACCCAUUUCUUCUGAGGAAUAAAAGGUCAUGAAACCACUGAGUUCUCUCCCUCCUAAAAAGGGUACUUUCUUCUAGGGAGUGAAUUACCAAUGAAACCAAGAAAAAAAAAUUAAGCAAAAAAUAUAUUUUGUUCCCACUGGGCAGGUGGAACUGUAAUCACAGCUGAGUGUAAUUAGAAAAUCUGUAAGGAUGCCACUACUUUGCAUCAAUUUUUAAGCAACCCGUUUAAUUUGGUUGAUGAACUCAAGCUUUCCACAGGAGCUCUGGAAAAGAGAUGGGACACUCAUGGCUGCAGUGACAGCAGCAUAGUAACCUGGAGGUCACAACUGCAAGGUGUGAAUAAGAAGCUCUCCGAUAAAGAUGCUGGAGAAAACUGGACAUAUGUGUGCUGCAUGUCAACACAUUCUAUGAAGCUGAAUGAAACUACUGCGCUAGGACAUGCUCUGGAAGUGCUUGUUCUCUCCACUGACUGCAAAGAGAAUGUAACGUGAAUCAUUCAGAGGGAACCAACGCAUUGACACCAGCUCUAGGUGCUGUGUUUAUCACUGAAGUGGAGAAGCCACUUUCCAUUAGCAUACACACUGCAAGCAGUUCUGCGUCCAAGAACAAAAGAAAGGUUUGAAAUAAGCUUCAUAGUCUGCAAUGAUCACCACCUUUGGAGAGAAGCUGUCCUGUAAGACCUGGAAAAGUAUUACAUGCCUCAAUUAAAAAUAAUGGAAAUUCUUGCUUUAGGGCUUCAAAUAAGGGUUGUAAUGUCUGUCUGCCUGUCCACAGCUGGUCUUGAAGUGAGAUGCUUACAAACACAAUAAACAACCCUAGAGUGGAUAUCUUCCUGCAGCAUAGAAUUUAUUCUUAUGUGACUUCUAUCCCAAUAUAAUCACCUUCAUAAUUAAAAGACUAUUUUUUUUUUAAUCACUGGCCAAUAUAUACCAAAAAUACUAAAUAAUAAUAAUGAUGAUGAUAAAAACAAUUAGAGAUCUACAUAUACACAGACUCAGCACACACAUGCAUACACAUUCUGAGUUCAGUUUUUCAGCACAUUGUACGUGGCAUAGUCAUUUGUACCAGCUCCACCACACUGCUAAAUAUAACUAGCAGCAAUAUACAGAGUUCAUUCUCAACUCACUUAAACCUGGGUAUAAAACAGUCCAGCUUUAGUUUCCUAGUAUUGCAUACACACUUUGUAAGUCACUUCUACGUUUUAAAAAGCUGUACUUCUUACUAACAUUAAUCUUCUGUGCCUUUGAGAGAACCAAAUAAUCACAGAAUCAUAGAAUGGCCUGCGUUGCACACAACGAUCAUCUAGUUUCCACCCCCUGCUAUGUGCAGGGUCACCAUCCACCAGACCAUGCUGCCCAGAGCCACAUCCAGCCUGGCCUUGAAUGCCUCCAGGGAUGGGGCAUCCACAGCCUCCUUGGGCAACCUGUUCACCAACCUCUGUGUGAAAAACUUCCUCCUACUAUCCAACUUAAACCUCCCCUGUCUCAGUUUAAAACCAUUCCCCCUUGCCCUAUCACUAUCCACCCAUCCUCAAUCCUUGAUCAUCCUAUAUUCUUGCCUUCUGUCUGUUCUAGGGUAUGCUUCCACUUUCUCUUUUACCACUUGUUUUAGUCCAAGUCAGAGGUCUUAGUUUAAAUAACUGUGUACAAAGCCAGGAGUUUUACACUGCAAUGUGUUAAGGAAUGCACACUCAAGCAGCUCAGCACUCAGUUUGCAGAAUGGGAGAAAUUAUCUAAGCUUGAAAGCUUGUAAGGAAGUGGCAUUCUGCAUACAUGGGGGGCAAGGUAGAGAAACUGGCCUUUUCAGCAACACCCAUACAUCUGAAAGAUGACAAAUGAACAUAUUUCAUGUGAGAUAUUUCACAUAAAUGCUUAAAAAAGGUAAGAACACCAUACACUGCUUAUGAACAUCCUACGCCAACAAAAACUGCAGACAUAGACAGGAGUUGUCCAAAUACAUGAAAAAUUUUGUUAAGCAAAGCAACCUGUAUUAGGGCAGAAUUUUCUUGGUUUGGCUGGCUUUGCAGUAGAAGCACCUGCCAAAACCACAGCGGUUAGGACACAGACGUCCUUCAAAGCCACAAACAGCUCAGCUCUGCUGAAAGUGGAUAUCAUCACAACACCUCUCUAAAAUAAUAGGUGUUGCCAUGAAUUUCGGCUUUAUUUCCACCCUGCUUAAAAGACAAAUUGAAAAAAAAAAAGAUUCUUUAUCUCCUUUCUAAUUUAAAGUAUAUGAGAAUUCCCACUGAGAUUGGACAGAAAGUGCAAUAAGAGCUAUUUGGUUCACAGAUUAGAUGCUUACAGGUAUGAAAAUAUUGUUGUGCAUGGAGAUUCUGCUUUGACACUUCAGUGCCAGCAAAUAAGAACAUCUUCCACACUGCCUAUAACCUGUGGUAAUUUGAUUAGCUGGAAUAACAAACCAAAACCAUACCACAAUUUUUUAGGACUGGGGGGGAGAAAGUACUUCAGGGCAAAGAUCCUCAGCCAUUUUGAUUGAUGAUCAAAGCUCAGCCAUUCCUUAAAUGUAUGAAGCAUCAUUUCUUUUUAAACUUGUGAAUUAUAUUUAUUUUGCUCUCAUCCAAUAUCCUGCACAUUUCAACCUAUUUAUAGGCUCAGAGGAAAUGGAAAAUGAGAAUGCAUGAGGAAAGUAAAUAAAUAAAUAGAUAGAUAGAUCAGCCCACAGUGCUAUAGUACGGAAGCUGUAGGACAUUUUAACUAAGUAUUAGUAUUUGUUGCACCAGUGGAGCAAUCAGUGUGUUAUUUGGGUAGUAGAGCCGAUCAGGAAUUCAUACAGCUUUUUAUUAGCAAGCAUUGAUACCAUGCCUUAAAGCAGGCACUUCCCAGAGGUGAGUUUUAGAAUCAGUUUUGUUUUCUAAGGCACAGCAUCACUUACAGACCCCCAGGCCUUGCUACAGGGAAAGCAGGAACAAAAAUCCUUGAGGACAAUCACCGCGGAUGACCCUAAACACUUUUGCAGACACAGCCGUCACUUUGCUGCUUUAGGGCCUGAGAUCUCCCAGCCAGCACGGAAGGAGACAUGAGCCCAGAGGAGUGCAGAUCCCAGAGCACACUCACAGAUGCAGUACAAACAUGGACUAAUGUAGCUGCCCUCUUUAUCUACAUGACUAGCUUAGUCAUGAAUGUGAGUAAAACUAAUUCUUUUCCAGCAACAGGAACUUGUUUGGCCAAGGGAAUGCCGGCUCCUACUUAGGACUGACAGCAGGGGCUGCAGUAAAUCCCUCUUUCAGUUGAGCUGACACAGUUGCCCAGUGAUGCCUCUGCUUAGCCAGCUGCAGUCAGAGGAAUCAGUCACGGACCAAUUUGUGGUAUUACUGUGCACGUCAUUCAACUCAGCUAUGAGUGACUGUCAAAUAACUCCCAACAUUUCAGUAACUGCAGUAUGCAAGGUGCUAGCCAAGAACCAAAAUGCUAGAUGGAAACUGAUUAUAACUAUAGCCAGCCUGGCAUGAUGGAGGUCUGCUGCCUGAAAACCCACAGCAGAGCAUUACGGGCCUUCUCCUGUUCAAAGAUGUUCUGACCACACUGACCAGGAGGAACAUUGGUGGCUGGAAAUGCAAAGGCUGGGUCACUGCUUCAGUUCUGUAAGCUCAGGUAAAUCAAGCAGAAGUGUGGAAAGAAGUAAGAAGGCACCGAUUUAAAAAUACAGUUCAUACUCUCCACUUUUUCUGUGUGGGGGUUCUUUUUGGUGGUGGAUAAGUAGCAUUUCAGUCUAUGAAGCAACUGACAUUUGUGCUCUCGAUAUUCCCCUCCCUGGCUAUUUAAUAAACCAGCAUACAUCUGGUCCCAAGCAUCAAAACCACAUGGUUCAACAUAUGCUAUAGCUGCUACCCAGGCACCCUCAUUUACUGUUUUUUUCAGACUAAUGCGGGAUUUGUAGGUAAAAAAAAAUGAUGCAUGUAUUUCUUUUUGCCAGAGAUAAAAGAUAACUGUACUUCCUCUGCACUUUAUUUAAAGAUUAAUUUUCUGUAGGGAAAAAAUGUCACUUUAAUUAAGCUAGAAUUCAAGCCAUAAAUUCAAAUUAUAACAGAAGGAUGAAUUCUGAUGAAUUCUGGCUACAGAAAUCAACAGGAAAACCCUUGUUGACUUUCCCUGGGGCAACACUGUACCCCAGACAAAUAAUGAUUGUUUUUAAUACUGACUUCUUGUAGCUGAAAUCUUUUUGCUGACCAUCUGUUUCUGUUCCACGUAUCUUUCUGAGUUUUCUGCUGCAGUAGUGACAAUCUGCUUGUGCAUCUCCGAGGACGUAAACUUAGGAAGACAAAAACCCAAAAGGAAUAUCUUCUCCUCAAAACCCUUGGUGUUACCCUUAUAAGAAGUUGGAGGAAAACUCAUAGAAAGCUCUGCACCACAAUGGGUCAAAUUUUAUUCCGUGGAGACAAAGGAAAAUCUAGAAUGCGUACCAAGAACAAGAACAAAAUGUAAGGGGCUAUUAAUAAAAUUAACUUAGUCCAAAAAUAUCAAAAGAUAUCCUAUCUUUCCUUAGAUUGCAACCUUUUCCAUCCUGAAAACUCCUGCUUAAAAUCUCUUUCAUUCUUUGUUUGCCAUCCCUUAAAUCUCAAGCACAAAGACUAGCUGACAGCACAGACCAAAGUGGUGCUUUCAUGGGGUUCUGCCUGUUACAUGUGGGACCAAUUCCACCAGAAAAGAGCCAGACUGCUGAAAUUGAGCUGUGCAGUAAAUCCCCUGAUUUGUUACCCAAUAAUGCAAAUGUUUCAUCAACAUUACUUAAGCAAAAACAUUUCAUAAGCGAAGCUGCAAAUGCAGCUGCACCACUGCCAGUGUUCUCAUGGUGCCAGAAGGCUGUGAGUUGCAUCACAGAGGUAAAACAGCAUCACAUUUGUGAAGGGGUGAUUGCCACAUGACAAAACAGUCCAAAAAAAAACAACCCAAAAGCUGUGCUCCUCCAGAUCAUAAAUGUCAUUGCAGACUGCCAUUUCUAAACCCUUCUGUACUGUUCUGGUUUUGCUUUUAAUGACCACAAUAACAAAAUGCUUAACGUCUGCAGAAAAAGACCGGAAAAUCCUAUUCAUGUGAAUCAUUUCUAUCUAUGUUCACAUUUGAUGUAUUACUGCUUAGGUUUUACCAGUUGUCCAUUUAUAGAACUCCCACCAGAAAAUCUGUGUAUUCUAAUACAAAAAAUAAGGUUCAAGUAGCUCAGGGUAGAGUUCUUCUGGGGAACACCACCAUUUAACUAAACAUUGUUAGCUCCCUUCAGCUUUCUCAGGUGAAAUAGAAAGACCUUUCCCGUGCUUCCAUUAAAGCACUCAAAGUUAUGAAUUUUUGACACAGCCUUUGAAUGGUUUUACUAGGAAAUGAUGCAGUUGAGUAUAAGCAAGAGAAUAUAAUGAAGGAUUUUAAUGGAGCACCUGCUGGGUCUCCUUUGCUGGCUCAGUCACCUAGGGGAAUCUUGUCGAUAGGGACCAUCACCUCAUUUACCCCUUAAUCUGAAAACUGAGCAAAUUAAGGCAAGGUCCAACAUUCCCCUCAAAGAAGAGAGGCACUUUGCUUCAGCUGCAUCUUCUUUUCAGUAAAGCAUCCAUUUUUACCUCCAUUCUCAUUCCUAAACACUGCAGAGAGGUAGAAAAGCAAAAGAAAGACAUUUUCAUUUCCCUCAGCUAUUCAUAAGCCAUUCUGCCCACAGCCCACCUUGCCCUGACACCCCUGCCAGCCCCAUGCUCAGCCACCAGCUGUGGAGGUGCCAGAGCACAUUUACAGCAGCUGCACCUAAAACAUAUGUGAAAAGCAUUCACAGCAAAAAGCAGCUUCCUAUGAGAACAACAGCAGGCCUCUACGGAGGGAUUAAGAGACUGAUGGAUCCCAGACAACUGAGAGUCAUGAGCAGCUAAGAGGAACAAAUCAUUGCCUUCUCAUCCAACUCAUGGCUUCUGGCAACGAGCAAGCUUUGGAAGAAGCAAAAGGAGAGGCAGAGAGAGGCAUCUGACAGCAGAACUGAGCCAAAAGCCAUUUUCAAUACAGCAAUAACAUUGAAUCCGCAUGGAAAAAAGAAACGACAAGGUCAUGACUCGUGAU